GGUAUUAUUCGAACAGGACUUUUAGCACGAGAAAGUCUCUGGAAAAAAAUGUAAAAUUUUUAAGAGGUCUUGCCCUCACAUGCACGUAAUGGGUUGAAAAUAACUUUUGGAUUAUCAGAUCUAUAUAUGUCUUGGAUCCGUGUUUCUUUUGAGGUAGUUUUACAUGUAGGAUUAAGGACACAAAUCAACCUUCCGUUUGAUGGUUAAAUUCCUCAAACGGACUGAUUUUAUAACUACCGUCCUCCUGCAAUUGAGAGAUUAUCAAGACUUUUGUUUCAAGAGGUAAUCGUAACAAAUACCAUUCCGGUGGCGGAGCAAAACUAAUUUCCUCAGCUAACAGAAUUGUCAGUUGCAAGCCUCCUGGGGGAGAUGACUGCUCUGGUGGCUUUGAAACGACUGACGAUUUACACCGGUUGUUGUGUGCGUUUCCCAGCUUCCAUUUUUGUCAAUGGCUGCCUUGGAAUUGAUAGUAAAACCAAAAUGUAUUCUCUUUUCAGCUUGUUUUCAAAGUCUUGUACAGUUAGAGGUUUACGGAUAGAUUCUUUCCAUUAGGUUGAAUGUUAAGUUCUUUUGCAGGCCUUCAUAGCUUCAGACACUACUAUAAUGCAUUGUAUUCAUAUAAUAGAUAAUUCACUGAAUCUUGGUUGAUUCGUUUGUUGUCA